rnacentral:rRNA from 1 species
AGAACGAACGCUGGCGGCAGGCUUAACACAUGCAAGUCGAACGCUCGUAGCAAUACGGGAGUGGCAGACGGGUGAGUAACGCGUGGGAACAUACCCUCCGGUUCGGAAUAGCUCAGGGAAACUUGGAUUAAUACCGGAUACGGCUGAGAGGCGAAAGAUUUAUCGCCGGAGGAUUGGCCCGCGUUCGAUUAGCUUGUUGGUGAGGUAACGGCUCACCAAGGCGAUGAUCGAUAGCUGGUCUGAGAGGAUGAUCAGCCACAUUGGGACUGAGACACGGCCCAAACUCCUACGGGAGGCAGCAGUGGGAAUAUUGGACAAUGGGCGCAAGCCUGAUCCAGCCAUGCCGCGUGAGUGAUGACGGCCUUAGGGUUGUAAAGCUCUUUCGCUCGGGACGAUAAUGACGGUACCGAGAUAAGAAGCCCCGGCUAACUUCGCGCCAGCAGCCGC